rnacentral:rRNA from 1 species
UACAGAGGGGGCAAGCGUUGUUCGGAAUUACUGGGCGUAAAGGGCGCGUAGGCGGCCUUCUAAGUCGAACGUGAAAUCCCCGGGCUCAACCCGGGAACUGCGUCCGAUACUGGAAGGCUUGAAUCCGGGAGAGGGAUGCGGAAUUCCAGGUGUAGCGGUGAAAUGCGUAGAUAUCUGGAGGAACACCGGUGGCGAAGGCGGCGAUCUGGACGGACACUGACGCUGAGACGCGAAAGCGUGGGUAGCAAACAGG